GUGGUUGUAGCUCAGUUGGUUAGAGCGUCCCCCUGUGGAGGGGAAGGUCGCGAGUUCGAUUCUCGUCAACCACC
rnacentral:tRNA from 1 species